CAGCCGCCGCGGGAAUACAGAGGGUGCGAGCGUUAAUCGGAUUUACUGGGCGUAAAGCAUGCGUAGGCGGCUAAUUGAGUCGGAUGUGAAAUCCCCGAGCUUAACUUGGGAAUUGCAUUCGAUACUGGUUAGCUAGAGUGUGGGAGAGGAUGGUAGAAUUCCAGGUGUAGCGGUGAAAUGCGUAGAGAUCUGGAGGAAUACCGAUGGCGAAGGCAGCCAUCUGGCCUAACACUGACGCUGAGGUACGAAAGCAUGGGGAGCAAACAGGAUUAGAUACCCCGGUAGUCCCUGUCUCUUAUAC
rnacentral:rRNA from 1 species